UACGGGGGGUGCUAGCGUUAUUCGGAAUCAUUGGGCGUAAAGGGCGCGUAGGCGGUCUUUUAAGUCAGAUGUGAAGGCCCUCGGCUUAACCGAGGAAGUGCAUUUGAUACUAAGAGACUUGAGUAUGGGAGAGGGAAGCGGAAGUCCUGGUGUAGCGGUGAAAUGCGUAGAUAUCAGGAGGAACACCGGUGGCGAAGGCGGCUUCCUGGACCAAUACUGACGCUGAGGCGCGAAGGCGUGGGGAGCAAACAGG
rnacentral:rRNA from 1 species